GUCGAGUCGGCCCGCGCGGAAGAUGUAACGGGGCUAAACCAUGCACCGAAGCUGCGGCAGCGAACGUAUCACUUAAAUUUGUUUGAGUGAAUAACGAUUGACGGAACGAAGUGACGUCAAUGCGUUAAUGAAAGUCGAGGCGAAAGCACGACAAAGCGAAUUUAAGGAUACGUUCGUUGGGUAGGGGAGCGUUCUGUAAGCCUGCGAAGGUGUACUGUGAGGUAUGCUGGAGGUAUCAGAAGUGCGAAUGCUGACAUAAGUAACGAUAAUGCGGGUGAAAAACCCGCACGCCGGAAGACCAAGGGUUCCUGUCCAACGUUAAUCGGGGCAGGGUGAGUCGACCCCUAAGGCGAGGCUGAAAAGCGUAGUCGAUGGGAAACGGGUUAAUAUUCCCGUACUGGUGGUAACUGCGAUGGGGGAACGGAGAAGGCUAGGUUGUCCGGGCGACGGUCGUCCCGGUUCAAGCAGGUAGGCAGAGUGAUUAGGCAAAUCCGGUCACUUAAUGCUGAGAUGUGAUGACGAACCACUAAGGUGGUGAAGCAAUUGAUGCCCCGCUUCCAGGAAAAGCCUCUAAGCUUCAGGUUACCAACAAUCGUACCCCAAACCGACACAGGUGGUCAGGUAGAGAAUACUCAGGCGCUUGAGAGAACUCGGGUGAAGGAACUAGGCAAAAUGGUGCCGUAACUUCGGGAGAAGGCACGCUGGCGGUAGGUAAAGUCCCUUGCGGACGGCGCUGAAGCCAGUCGAAGAUACCAGCUGGCUGCAACUGUUUAUUAAAAACACAGCACUGUGCAAACACGAAAGUGGACGUAUACGGUGUGACGCCUGCCCGGUGCUGGAAGGUUAAUUGAUGGGGUCAGCCGCAAGGCGAAGCUCCUGAUCGAAGCCCCAGUAAACGGCGGCCGUAACUAUAACGGUCCUAAGGUAGCGAAAUUCCUUGUCGGGUAAGUUCCGACCUGCACGAAUGGCGUAAUGAUGGCCAGGCUGUCUCCACCCGAGACUCAGUGAAAUUGAACUCGCUGUGAAGAUGCAGUGUACCCGCGGCAAGACGGAAAGACCCCGUGAACCUUUACUAUAGCUUGACACUGAACAUUGAGCCUUGAUGUGUAGGAUAGGUGGGAGGCUUUGAAGUGUGGACGCCAGUCUGCAUGGAGCCAACCUUGAAAUACCACCCUUUAACGUUUGAUGUUCUAACCUAGGCCCAUAAACUGGGUCGGGGACCGUGUCUGGUGGGUAGUUUGACUGGGGCGGUCUCCUCCUAAAGAGUAACGGAGGAGCACGAAGGUUGGCUAAGCAUGGUCGGACAUCAUGCGGUUAGUGCAAAGGCAUAAGCCAGCUUGACUGCGAGAGUGACGGCUCGAGCAGGUACGAAAGUAGGUCUUAGUGAUCCGGUGGUUCUGAAUGGAAGGGCCAUCGCUCAACGGAUAAAAGGUACUCCGGGGAUAACAGGCUGAUACCGCCCAAGAGUUCAUAUCGACGGCGGUGUUUGGCACCUCGAUGUCGGCUCAUCACAUCCUGGGGCUGAAGUAGGUCCCAAGGGUAUGGCUGUUCGCCAUUUAAAGUGGUACGCGAGCUGGGUUUAGAACGUCGUGAGACAGUUCGGUCCCUAUCUGCCGUGGGCGUUGGAAGAUUGAGAGGGGUUGCUCCUAGUACGAGAGGACCGGAGUGAACGCACCACUGGUGUUCGGGUUGUCAUGCCAAUGGCAUUGCCCGGUAGCUAAGUGCGGAAGAGAUAACCGCUGAAAGCAUCUAAGCGGGAAACUUGCCUCGAGAUGAGUCUUCCCUGUCNNNNNNNNNNNNNUAAAGGAACGUUUAAGACUAAGACGUUGAUAGGCUGGGUGUGUAAGCGUAGCGAUACGUUGAGCUAACCAGUACUAAUGAACCGUGAGGCUUAACCUG
rnacentral:rRNA from 1 species